rnacentral:rRNA from 1 species
GAACUAACGAGGAUUCCCCUAGUAACUGCGAGUGAAGCGGGAAAAGCUCAAAUUUAAAAUCUGGCGGUCCUUGGCCGUCCGAGUUGUAAUUUAGAGAAGCGUCUUCCGCGCCGGACCGUGCACAAGUCUCCUGGAAUGGAGCGUCGUAGAGGGUGAGAAUCCCGUCUUUGGCACGGACCCCCGGUGCUUCUGUGAUGCGCUCUCGAAGAGUCGAGUUGUUUGGGAAUGCAGCUCAAAAUGGGUGGUGAACUCCAUCUAAAGCUAAAUAUUGGCGAGAGACCGAUAGCGAACAAGUACCGUGAGGGAAAGAUGAAAAGCACUUUGGAAAGAGAGUGAAACAGUACGUGAAAUUGUUGAAAGGGAAACGCUUGAAGUCAGUCGCGUCGACCGAGACUCAGCCUCGCCUCGGCUUGGUGUACUUCUCGGGCUGACGGGUCAGCGUCGAUUUUGCUGCUCGGAAAAUGACAAGGGAAAGGUGGCACCUUUGCGGGUGUGUUAUAGUCUCCUGUCGCAUACGAGGGGUGGGAUCGAGGAACUCAGCACGCGCCUUUUGGUGUCGGGGCUUCGGCCCACGUUACGUGCUUAGGAUGCUGGCGUAAUGGCUUUAAACGACCCGUCUUGAAACACGGACCAAGGAGUCCAACAUGCCCGCGAGUGUUCGGGUGGAAAACCCGUGCGCGUAAUGAAAGUGAAAGUUGGGACCUCUGUCGUGGAGGGCACCGACGCCCGGACCAGACCUUCUGUGACGGAUCUGCGGUAGAGCGUGUAUGUUGGGACCCGAAAGAUGGUGAACUAUGCCUGAAUAGGGUGAAGCCAGAGGAAACUCUGGUGGAGGCUCGUAGCGAUUCUGACGUGCAAAUCGAUCGUCAAAUUUGGGUAUAGGGGCGAAAGACUAAUCGAACCAUCUAGAGCUGGUCCUCC